AUUGAACGCUGGCGGCAUGCCUUACACAUGCAAGUCGAACGGUAACGCGGGGCAACCUGGCGACGAGUGGCGAACGGGUGAGUAAUGCAUCGGAACGUGCCCAGUAGUGGGGGAUAGCCCGGCGAAAGCCGGAUUAAUACCGCAUACGACCUACGGGUGAAAGCGGGGGACUCGCAAGAGCCUCGCGCUAUUGGAGCGGCCGAUGUCAGAUUAGGUAGUUGGUGGGGUAAAAGCCUACCAAGCCGACGAUCUGUAGCUGGUCUGAGAGGACGACCAGCCACACUGGGACUGAGACACGGCCCAGACUCCUACGGGAGGCAGCAGUGGGGAAUAUUGGACAAUGGGCGCAAGCCUGAUCCAGCCAUGCCGCGUGAGUGAAGAAGGCCUUCGGGUUGUAAAGACUCUUCGGUUGGGGUAAGGAAAGUUAGCUUCGGUUAAUACCU
rnacentral:rRNA from 1 species